CUAUGGAAAUGGAGCCAUAAGAGAAAGAGGCAUACAAAAAAAGCUGGACCAACAUAAGGUUUCAUGCAUCAUGUCAUGCGACAACAUUGAGAAGGCCAAAUUCAAGGGGAACCUGCAAAAGCAGCAGGUUCGUAAAAUGCAAGGUACCUGCUGGCAAAAUUCAGGUGCUAUGGG